GCAAGUCGAGCGCGAAAGCCUUUCGGGGUGAGUAAAGCGGCGGACGGGUGAGUAACGCGUAGGAAUCUACCUGGUAGUGGGGGACAACUUGGGGAAACCCAAGCUAAUACCGCAUACGCCCUAAGGGGGAAAGCGGGGGAUCUUCGGACCUCGCGCUAUUGGAUGAGCCUGCGUAGGAUUAGCUAGUUGGUGAGGUAACGGCUCACCAAGGCUGCGAUCCGUAGCUGGUCUGAGAGGAUGAUC
rnacentral:rRNA from 1 species